GACUUACAUUUUGUAAGUCGCUCUGGAUAAGAGCGUCUGCUAAAUGACUUAAA
rfam:Salmo salar isolate Sally breed double haploid chromosome ssa22, whole genome shotgun sequence.